rnacentral:lncRNA from 1 species
AUAAUGAAAGGGUAAACAAUGUGGUGAAAGGUGUGAAGGUGAGAUUUGAUGAUAAUGAGCUAGAGGAGAUUCUAAGGAUACCUGUUGAAGGCUACAUAAGCAACAUGUCAUAUUUUUCACAUAAAUAUGUAAUCUCUACUUCCUAAGCAGCCUUCAUUGAACAACUGAUCAUACUAUAUAUAAAUCUAUAUUUUGGUUAAGCUACUCUACUCCAGAUGCGUUCAGCAAUCUCUAGCCUUCUUUGGGUCUCAAUAACUGCAAUUUAACUUGUUGUGACUACAAGUGCUAAGAAAAGAAAGAUUUCUAAGAAGAAGUCCCCUGAAAAUUCCGUUGAUACAGAAAGCUCUGCCUUGGUAAAAAGAACCAGGUCUGCCAGAAAAUCAAGAAAAGUGCAAAUAGUGGAAGAAGAGGGUGAAGAGGAAGAGGAGACUGAUGAAGAAAAGAACAAGAUGGUGAAGUUUGAAAAAAGAACAAUUCUGAAGGGGAGGCUCCUCAAAGAUUUGGAAGAGGAAGGAAGGACAUGGUCCCUCAGUUGGAAGGAAUGUUAGCCCUAAAAAGUUUAAGAUAGAGAAUGAAAGAGUAAAUAGUGUGGUGAAAUGAGUAAAAGGUGAAGUUUGAUGAUAAUGAGCUAGGGGAGAUUCUAAGGAUACAUGUUGAAGGCUACAUAAGCAACAUGUCAUAUGUUUCACAUGAAUAUGUAACUUGAGUAACCUCUACUUCCUAAGCAGCCUUCAUUGAACAACCAACCAUACUAUAUAUAAAUACUAGAUAUCCCGUGCAUGUGUUGUGCACGGGCCUAACACGACCAUAAGCCUAACACCACUGCACAAAAUAGGUCCGAGAGUAAGAAAGAUAAUUUCAUACUUGUGUAGUAAGAUUACCCCCGAAAAAUAAAAUGACGAAGCAAUACCAUCCGUUGACUAAAUAUUACAACAUAAUACACCACAUUCAUUUGUUUAGCUUCAUUAGUCCAAUUGCAUUUUUAGCUUGCUUCUAUGAGAAUGAGAAAGAUAAAAACAAUCAGAUAAAUCGUGUUCAUGUUGGUAGUCCCACUAAUACAAAAUAUUGGAUAAAAUUUGGACAGUUGCAGUUGACAACAAAUACUUCAUCUUAUAUCCACCUAAAGAAAAGAAAAUCAAGCAUUAGUAUUAUUGGUAAGACUUACAUAUGGUAGUAUAACAAUCAUAAAAUUCAGCUAGUUUGCAUAUUCAGCAAAACAAUCAUAAAUUCAUUAAUUUUGGAGGAAAAAGAGGGGCAUAAAAUAUCAGCAUGGACUAAGAGGAGAAAGAAAAGAUUCAGACACGGUAGACCUAUUGAAAUGCCCCCAUCAAAGGCAUGUUCUAAAUCUGAAUUGGGUCUCUUCUUUUUAGCAAUCUAUAGCUAGGCAUUAAAUAAUGAUUUACAACCUUGGAGGACCUAUUUAGGGAUAUGAACCUUUAACCUAUUUCAUUGGAGGAGACUAUCUUCAUUGAUUUUGGUAUUGAUGUAAUAACUGAAAAGUGAUACACACCAAAUUUAAAAUAGAAAAUCUGCAAUAGAAGCACUACCAGUAAAUCACAAUUCACAACCAUACUCGCAUAUUCUGUGACUUAGGAGAGAUCAUGUAGUGGUAUUUCUAUUUCAAUCACCUGACCCUACUCUAUUCAUGAGAACAACUGCUAUCUAUGUUGAAUGAAUGCGUCCAGGUUACUACAAAAAUUUCUAGACAAAUUCUAACUUCUGCAAAUACUACUUCAAUUGCCUUAUUUCUAUUAUAUACUUACAAGCAACGACCAUCUCAUCAUGACCAUCUAUCGAAGAGAUGCACCAAAAAGAUCUGAAAAACAUAAAGCAGAUAAACGAACCUUCAAAAUAUAAGUUUUGAGUAGUAUUUAAACACAUGUUAAAGGAUACAAUGAAAAGAAGCAUAUUGCCAACGACAAGUCUGUUUUUUCAUUUCCUUGCAAAACUUACUAAUGACAAACUAAGUGAAUGUGUGGGCUAAAGAUGUUGCAACCUGAUCAUUCUAGAUAUGUCCAUGUUAUUGUCCUUGGUGGGGCUUCAGUGAGAGUUCAUCAUUUAUAAUUUGCUGCUUUUGAGGCUAGUGAAAAAUAUUCAACAUGUUGUGCGAGAGAUUUGGAAACAACAGUUAUCACUUAUCACAUGCCAUCAGUUCUUGCUCGAUCCUUAUCUAUAUGAAAUAAAGCGUGCGUCUAUACCGAUAAGUAGAUAUUGAUUGAUCUCAACUAAUCAAGGGGAAAAUGUUUGAUAUUUUGGUCAAUUCAAAAUAUCAUAAUAAAAAUACCCCCGUACCCUGACAACUUAAAAAAAGUGAAAAGAAGAAAGGAAUGUUGAGGCUAGGAAUGAAGUGCAAAGAGAAAACUGGAGAAAUAAAACUCACAUGCAGACAUCCACUAAUCAAACAAAUCAAAUGCUCAAAAAACAAAAUCAGAGAACAUAGCUUACCAAUUAAUACAAUCGCAGCACACCAGAUUGAUCGGCAAAGGACUGUCAAUCCAACUAAAGAAGAUACUAUCAUGUGACAGAAGCAUUAUUCAAAGUUCAAACUUGCCGCAAUUAUUACUCCCACCGUUCCAGUUUAUGUAAACCUAGCUAUUUCCUUUUUGGUCCGUUCCAAAAAGAAUGACCCCUUUCUAAAUUUGGAAACAAUUUAGCUUAAACUUCCAAUUCUACCCUUAAUGAGAAGCUUUUAUAACCACACAAAUACUCUGGUCCCCAUUUUGACUUGUUUAGGACCACAAAUUCUAAAAAAGUCAUCAUUUUUUCUUAAACUCCGUGAUCAGUCAAACAUGUUCACAUAAAUUGGAACAGAGGGAGUAUUAUUGAAAAAAAUGGAAGGGAAGGAAAAGAUAAAGCUGUAAUUUUGAUUACUUUUGCUCCACGCGUAUAGUAGUCACCGGAACAUCUAUGUACAAGAUAAAAAGUCAUAAGCAAGCUGCGGUAAGGACUUUAUUUUCCUGCAAAACAAUUGUUGAUGUAUAGAAAAACAUGUUACUAAUUUAUAUGAGGGAAUCAAUUAGGAUAUUUGCGAACGAACAUUUAAACUUGUUGCUAAAUUUUUAUGUUUGAGUAGCUUAGUAACUUUUAUUCUCUGUGUAAAAGCAUAGGAGUUAGCAGGACUUCAGAAUAUGCAAGCAUUUGAACUAUCUCGGAGGAGUUGAUUGAAAUAUUUCAAGAAUUUCUCAAGGAUUAAUCUUCAUUUCCUGCACAUACUCUAGUCCCUCUCGAGAUAGUAAUUCUGGGGUUUUCACAUUAUAAAAUGACAUAAAGAUGAUCUCCGAAUGAUCUUCUUAGCUGCUACUUGAUUUUCAAAUGUAUCAACCAAAUCAGACAACCCAAUGAAUGAAAGCUCUUAAUCUUCAUUAUACUCCAGCAUAGAGCGAUAAUGUCUCAAAUUCUAGAGUAAUCUUAAUAUCUCGUUCUGAACACUUAUGUCAUUUGAGUAUCAAAUAAAUCUCAGUUGUAACCUAAAAGCAACAACCAUAAAUUCCAGCUUUGUUUCUUUGAUACUAUGUUGUAGAUUAGUUUUAUGGAGUUACAACCAACAAAUCAGAAGUAGAAAGAUUCAAAAAAUGACGAAGAAACAAUAAUAAUUCAACGAUGAUAGAUAAACAAAAUUGAUUGUCCUUGUAAUAUUGCAUAGAUCAGAGAGCUAUUGUUGAAAUGUGAGACCCGUUUGGCCAUAGAUCACUUUUGACACGGAACCAACCCCCAGAGGAAACAGAGGGACAACAACACAAAACUGCAGCACAUCCCUAUUUUUAUUUCUAAAGCAAGAAAGAACAACGACACUGCCACUCUUCAAUUAAUUUCUAAAUCAAUUCCCAAAUAGAAUUUCAGUGCACCUUUAUCAUCUCUCAACGCAAUUCUAAUGUGCAAAGUCGCCCAAACCUGUAGAAGUAAGAGGUUCUUACUCCCAUGUAGUCUAAAUACUUUUUUUCUUACUAUUUUCUUCAAUCCUUUAUCUUCUUUUUUAUAACAAGAAUAAGUACAACUAUAGAUUUGUUGCCUAACAUAAACUUUUCCUAAGCAUUCAUCCCACAAAUCAAAGUAGGCAAAUAACUUUAAGCUUUUCCUAAUCAUGUAUAUUCCAAUCAAUCAACCUCCAUUCCAUACAUCAUCCUAUUUCUUUGGAUGCUGUCAUAGCCAAAAAGAAGUGACAAAAUAAGACGGUAAACUUUCCUCUUCCAUUGUUAUCUUCGAGAAAUAGAGUAAGACAGUGGACACAUAGAAGGUUUGAAGAUGAAAUUUCAUAAAGAUACCCCACGCCCUAGAUCACUUUCAGCAUUCUAAAGAUGCCAAGUGAAUGUAGAAAUUUGAAAGUUCUAAAAGAUGGAUAUAUAUUCUUUGUUCCGAGUUGGCGAUUUUGGUGUUAUAGAUGUAGUUUAUUGUAAGGUCUGUAAUGUUAUUUGAAAAGUGUUCAUGACGGCUAGUAAGAUGAUAAAGCCCAUAAUACUGUAUGUAAUACCCGAAAGAAUUGUACUCUAGCUAGUUUGUUGAACAUACCAUCACAAUCUCGGUGUUGUUUGUAAUUAGAAAAUUUACCUUUUUAAUCAAAAGCAAUAUAAGGAGAAAAUAUGGUCAAAGUAUAGAAUCAGAUAUGCUGAGCACAUUUUUCCUGAAAUAAAAAGAACUCAAUUUAGUAAAAAUUUUGAUUCAUAUCUUCUCAAGCUCAACCUGAGACUAUACUUUCCUAAAGUCGGAAUAGGAUCGUUCUCCACUUCACGAGAUUUUAAAAAGAACAACUUAAUUUUGUAAAUACUUCAUUAAUCAUUUUUCCCAAAUAAAGUUUUUAAACAUAUAAAAUCUCUAUAAGAAGACAAAAGUGAAAGAACACAAGUAUUUUUCUUGGCUGUACAUUAAAAAUAAAAAGAAUGCAUUUGAAACAUUAGUUUGCUAAUUUCAGUACUGUUGAAGAAGCCUUGUAAAACAUUAAAUUCGGAUAGCCUAACAUACAAUUAUUUCUUGUUAGCUAAGAAGUCCUUUAAAGUAUGCAUCAACUACCGUCAACAGUCAGAUAAAUAUUACUUCUCAUUUAAUUCUAUCCUCUCAUGUCUACAGCAGUUUAGAAAAUCCACAAAAUUGUUUAGAUCCUGGGGCCAUCUUACAAUUACACCAAGAAUACACAAACUGCAAUGACUUGAAUUGAAUACAUGCUAAGGCCCAAUAAGUAUUUUGAAAAAAACUAUAGUUUCUUUCCACAUUGUGCAAAAAAAGCACGAAGGAACUUAUUACUGGAUGUCUUUGUGAAUGUAAUAGAAAAUCUCAUGAAUUAAGCAUAAAAAACCUUUUGUUCUUGGGGAUAAUUGCAUUUUUAAUGAGUUACUAAUAUUGAAAAGGGGAAGUAAGUAAAAGUAAACCAAAAUGUGCAGAACUUACCUGGUACAAGUGAAGCAAUAUUCCUUUCCCCACUUUCAGUUAACAACUUCCUUUAAGAAAAAUCUGAAAAAUCAAUAUUUUGGGACCAUUAUAUUCCUACUAAAUGAAUACAAAAAUAUUCGGUAAUAUCAAAAGUUCAUAUUUCAAACAAAACCCAAGUAAGCGAUACACUAUUCAGUUUAAUAGAGUCUCGUCAAAAAAUAAUAAAAUAGGAGUAAUAAUUUUGAAAAAGAAGAAGAUAAACCCAAUUAAAGAACAUUGUGUGAGAAAAAUAUUGUGCAUGAGUAAAUCAAACAUAUCUACUGACAUGUAUGUAUAACAUUCAAUAAAAUACUGCCCAAAAGUUCAAGAUGCCCAAAAAAUUAUAUUAAAAACAGGAUCCAAACACAUGCAUAGCCGAGAAAACAGAGGAAGAUGCAAAGAAGGUGUCCAAUUCCCUGCUUCUUAGUAGGAGAAACUGAUAGAUAAGUCACCAAAGAAACCCCAAAUUUUCCAUCUUUCAAUUUUCUUUUUCAAACUUUCAGUUCAUACACUUUGAAAACCUAAAUAGACACAAUUCAAUAAUGUAGCCACAUAAGACUCACCAAUCCUUGUAACAUUAAAAAAAUUAGAAAUGGUAAAAGAUAAAAGAUAAAAGAUAUUCUCCAUCUUCAUAAUAGCCAAAGGUAACACAUAAAUAUUAAAAAAAUGAACCCAGAUGGGACUAAAUCUAAAAACUGAGCAAAAUAUUAACAGGGGGAAGAAGAAAAAGGCAUCAGCAAGAGAAAGAGUCGGUGGAAGGGAAAUUGAGAAAUGUAGGAAAAAGGAACUAAACCCACGUGCUGGGUGGAAGUCCAUAAGUCAACAUAGGAGAAGCUCACGUGGGUAUCAACCAUGAGACUGAAUCACCAAACUAC